rnacentral:rRNA from 1 species
CACGAGCGCACCCUCGUCCUUAGUUGCCAUCAUUCAGUUGGGCACUUUAAGGAGACUGCCGGUGACAAACCGGAGGAAGGUGGGGAUGACGUCAAGUCAUCAUGCCCCUUACAUCCUGGGCUACACACGUACUACAAUGCAACGGACAAAGGGCAGCCAACUAGCGAUAGUGCGCAAAUCCCAUAAACCGUUGCUCAGUUCAGAUUGCAGGCUGCAACUCGCCUGCAUGAAGGCGGAAUCGCUAGUAAUCGCAGGUCAGCAUACUGCGGUGAAUACGUUCCCGGGCCUUGUACACACCGCCCGU